GAUGAAGAACGUAGCGAAAUGCGAUAAGUAAUGUGAAUUGCAGAAUUCCGUGAAUCAUCGAACCUUUGAACGCACAUUGCGCCCGCCAGUAUUCUGGCGGGCAUGCCUGUUCGAGCGUCAUUACGCCCCUCAAGUCCCCUGUGGACUUGGUGUUGGGGAUCGGCGAGGCUGGUUUUCCAGCACAGCCGUCCCUUAAAUUAAUUGGCGGUCUCGCCGUGGCCCUCCUCUGCGCAGUAGUAAAACACUCGCAACAGGAGCCCGGCGCGGUCCACUGCCGUAAAACCCCCCAACUUUUUAUAGUUGACCUCGAAUCAGGUAGGACUACCCGCUGAACUUAAGCAUAUCAAUAAGCGGAGGA
rnacentral:misc_RNA from 1 species